rnacentral:lncRNA from 1 species
UAUGGAGAGUUACCAGCACUUGAUCAGACCGUUGAGAGAAGGAUAAGGCCGCGGCUUGACAGGCUGUAUGCAGCUGGAAAGGGAAAGCAACCUUAUCCAUUCUACCCACACAUGUGGAGUCUCCCAUUGGCUUAGUUUGAAUUAGGCGCCUAUCUCUUCCUUGACUUCACAUGCUUUGCUUACUUUACCUUUGAGGAAAACCUAUGUAUCUUCUCCUAUAUAUUGUAAUCUCUUCAUUAAUGAUAAUUAGACAGUUCUUGACACAAAAACACUUUCUUAGACUCAAAGACUCUCAAUCAUGAUUCUACACUAAACUCUUAGCUAAACUCAUUCUAAAUCAUCUCUAAACUUCUCUAAUCCCUUUCUUUUCUUAUAUCAAACUCAGAUUCUCUAAAGUUCAUAACUCUUGGGUUGUUGGAUAUUACACACCAACAAGAACACUCAACAACUCGCGAACAAGCAGUAGAGAGAACAAAGAAAGGUUUAUGAUAAAAGAUAAUUGAUUAUUGAUAAGGGGUUCAAAGUACACUUAUAUAAGAGAAGUUGGAACAGACUCCAAGCUUCUCGAAAACUAUCAAGAGAGUAAAGGCACACGGCUCUCUUGGAAAUAGAAACAAGUGACAAGUUUGAAAACAAAAGCAUGAAAUGAAAAACAUAAUAUAUCAUAAGGUUGAUCCGGGAUAAGGUUGGAUCGAGAUCAUCAACUAAAAG